CUUCUCUCUCUCCUAACUCUCACGGUUUUAGUUCUCUCUCUUUCAAAACUUAUAAUCUUUUGCAUUUUGUUCUAUUUUCUAUUUAAAUCUCCGGUUAGAUUCAAGAUUCGAAGAAGAAAUGAAAACCGCGUGGAAAUUGCAAGGUUAGACAAAAACAUGCCACCAAAAAUUGAGGAGAUAGAAGAAGCAAUGACGACAUCGAAGAAAUGACAAGUUCAUGUUCAUCUUCGUCACAUUUUUCGAGCAAAAAUAGGAACCUUAUGGAGAUUACGGAGUUAGAUGAACACAAGCACACUGCACACGGAAGAGAUGAUGUAUGAACUCCACAUCUGCAUUAUAAAGCAAUACGUGACCUACAUAGGAUGCGACUAUUUGACUUGUGAUACUAUGUUCAUAGAGCUGAUCAACGCAUGAGUAGAAUCGGAAGACAUGACAACAAAUAUUUCAGAAGACGAAAGUGUAAAUUUUUAAUUUAUUUCACUAAAUUUAUUUUGUUUAUUUUGUUUUGAACCAUAACUAUGAUAUGUUUUUCGUUAUUUGGCAGU